AUGAGGUAUCCUUUAUCUGAGCUUAAACCGUGCUAUUCUAUUGAUAUUGUUGACUCUCUUGCGCAAGAACUCCUAAAUUCAAUGAUUGAUGAUAAAUUGGAGUACACCAUUGCUCAAGGAGUGGGAUACAAUGCUGAUGGUACUUAUGUGUCGAAGGCAGAAUUAGAGGAAAUAUGGGAUGAUGUUGUGCUUGAAACCGUUGCUGCUCUUGAAGGCCUACCAAGUAGUUCUAAUCUCAUAUUGUCUCUUCCCAUUUCCACUAACAAAUUGUUACCAUCUGUAGAGCAGCCACCCAAGUUAGAAUUGAAAGCAUUACCUGAUCACUUGAAGUAUGUGUACUUGGGAGCGAAUGCGACUUUGCCAGCAAUUGUGUCCUCCAAGCUAGAUGAGGAACAAGAAAAGAGAUUGGUGGAGGUAUUGAAGAAGUACAAGACUGCUAUUGGAUGGACUUUAGCAGACAUCAAGGGAAUAAGCCCAACCAAAUGUGUCCAUCGAAUUUUGCUGGAAGAUGGAGCAAAACCCACUAGAGAAGCCCAAAGACGUCUUCACCAACCAAUGAUGAAGGUGGUUCAAGAUGAAGUCAUCAAGUUGCUGGAUUGUGGGGUGAUCUAUCCCAUAUCCGAUAGUAAGUGGGUCUCUCCUGUUCAAGUGGUUCCAAAGAAAUCUGGAGUGACGGUUGUGCAGAAUGCUGAGAAUGAGCUAGUGCCCCAACGAGUUGUGACUGGACAUAGAGUCUGCAUUGACUAUAGAAAGCUCAACGCCACCACAAGAAAGGACCAUUUCCCCCUACCAUUCAUUGAUCAAAUGCUUGAGAGGUUAGCUGGUCACGAAUUUUAUUGCUUCUUGGACGGAUAUAGUGGUUACAAUCAGAUCUGCAUAGCCCAAGAAGACCAAGAGAAGACUACAUUCACAUGUCCUUUUGGCACUUUUGCCUAUCGGCGCAUGCCCUUCGGUUUGUGCAAUGCACCAGGUACGUUUCAAAGAUGCAUGAUGUCUAUUUUCUCUGAUUAUAUUGAAAAUAUAACUGAGGUCUUUAUGGAUGACUUUAGUGUCUUUGGUAAGGACUUUGAUUCAUGCGUGACGAAGUUGGUUUCCGGGUUUGAAAAGAUUGAUAAAUCUAAGAUAGAUCUUGUGCGUCACUUACCCAUCCCCACAAGUGUGAGGGAUGUUCGAAGCUUUCUUGGACAUGCAGGUUUUAAUCGUCGAUUUAUCAAAGAUUUCUCUAAGAUAGCUCGACCCCUGAGUUCUUUGUUGCAAAAAGAUGUGCCCUUCCACUUUGAUGCCGAGUGCAAGGAAGCUUUUAAGCGGUUAAAGACCAUGUUGACAUCGGCACCGAUCAUGGCGCCACCGGAUUGGUCCUUGCCCUUCGAGUUGAUGUGUGACGCCUCAGACUAUGCCGUGGGGGCUGUGCUCGGACAGAGAAAAGAACAGCAGCCGUAUGCCAUAUAUUAUGCCUCUCAGACGCUCAAUGAUGCGCAACAGAACUACACCACCACCGAGAAAGAACUUCUUGCCGUGAUCUUUGCUUUGGAUAAGUUUCGUUCUUACUUACUCCAAUCUAAAGUUAUUGUUUACACUGACCAUGCGGCUUUGAAGUAUUUGUUGACGAAGAAGAAUGCCAAGCCGAGAUUGAUAAGGUGGAUAUUGCUUCUCCAAGAGUUCGAUUUGGAAAUCAAAGACAAGAAGGGGUCGAACAAUGUUGUUGCCGACCACCUUAGCCGGUUGGUACGUGACUCGGAUCCCGUGGCCAUCCAAGAGUGCUUCCCGAACGAGCAACUUUUCAAGGUAAGUGAGGUAAGUGAGCCUUGGUAUGCAGAUAUCGUGAAUUACCUUGUGACAAAGCAAUUUCCGAAUUCUAUGUCCUACCAUGCUAGAAAUAGACUUAAGACAUUAGCUAGACAUUAUGUGUAGGAUGAACCUUAUUUAUGGAAGCAUAGUGUUGAUCAAGUUAUUAGGAGGUGUGUCCCGGAGAAUGAGUCAUGUGAUAGAUGUCAAAGGACAGGGAAUUUAGGACCUAGGGAUGAGAUGCCUAUGCAACCUAUUAUACAUGUUGAAAUAUUUGAUUGUUGGGGUAUUGAUUUCAUGGGGCCUUUUCCGAAUUCUCAAAGAAAUUUAUACAUUCUCGUAUGUGUGGAUUAUGUUUCUAAAUGGGUGGAAGCAAAAGCCACCCGGACUAAUGAUUCUCGAGUUGUUGCAGAUUUCCUACGCUCUAAUAUUUUCUCCAGGUUUGGAAUGCCGAAAUUUGUAAUAAGUGAUGGAGGUUCCCACUUUUGCAAUCGAACAAUUGAAGCUCUAAUGAAGCAGUAUGGAAUCAAGCAUAAGGUUGCUACACCUUAUCACCCCCAGACAAGUGGGCAAGUGGAGCUUAGUAACCGAGAGAUCAAGCGGAUAUUGGAGAAGAGUGUGAAGCCGUCACGUAAGGAUUUGAGCCAACGACUUGAUGAUGCACUAUGGGCAUAUCGAACUGCAUUCAAAAAUCCCUUGGGGAUGUCACCGUUUCGUAUGGUGUACGGCAAAGCUUGUCACUUGCCUGUGGAGUUGGAACAUCGAGCUUGGUGGGCGGUUCAGGCUUUUAAUAUGGAUAUUGAUGAGGCCGGAUUACACAGGAAGUUGCAGUUAUGUGAACUUGAAGAAAUCAGGAAUGAGGCUUAUGAUUCUGCCGUGAUCUAUAAAGAGAAAACCAAGGCGUUCCAUGACAGGAUGAUUCGAAAGAAAGACUUUGUUAUCGGCCAGAAAGUUCUCUUAUUUAAUUCUAGACUUAGGUUGUUUCCAGGCAAGCUACGUUCUAGGUGGAUAGGACCUUUUGUUAUCACUAAUGUCUUUCCUUCUGGUGCAGUCAUGAUUAGGAGCAUGGUCAAAGGAGCUGAAUUUCAGGUAUCAUUUCCUAGCUUGGAGACGUUAAGGCUCCGUAAGCUACCUAAGUUGAAGGCAGUAUGGCAAAACCAACUUGCUCCAGACUCUUUUUGCCGGCUUAGAAAUGUCACUGUGAUGAAGUGCGUCAGCCUAAUUAAUCUAUUUGUGCCUUGUAUUUCCGAAAGAUUGGAUUCUCUAGAGGCCUUGUAUGUGGAGUGCUGCCCGUUACUAGAAGUGACGGAAGUGAGGCAGAAAACAGUGUCAAAAUUUGUGUUCCCAAAAGUAACAGAGUUGACAUUCUCACACCUGCCCAACUUGAAGAGCAUCUAUCCCGGGAAGCAUGUUUCACAGUGGCCUUCACUCCAAGAUUUGGAAGUGGAUGAAUGUGGUGAAGUAGAGAUUGUAGCUGGGGAGCUUUCACUUUGUCGAGAAAACCAAGAGUUUGACUCUCACUCUAUUCAGAUUAAACAACCUCUCAUUUUAUUUGAAAAGGGUUCACCAAUGUUUCCCCACUUGGAAGCUUUGGAAUUGGGGGCCAUAGAGAUGUGGAGUGGUCCAUUACUACCCCCAGUGUUUGUUGUAGCAUAG